UGUUAAAAAAUUCAUUCAUUUAUAAUUAUUAAAAACUGGUGUGACUAACAGAAUAAUCAGAUAUGGACACUUUAUGUGCUAUGUAUAUUUCAUGUUGACAUGUACAAGGAUUAGCUUUUAACAAUAAAAAUGGAUGGAAUUUUUAAUG
rfam:Gossypium raimondii Chr11_contig_1138, whole genome shotgun sequence.